rnacentral:ncRNA from 2 species
GAGCGAUCGUAAAUAGCAGUCGAUAUAUACCAAAGGAUAUGGCUUGGCGUUUCUACCCGGCACCGUAAAUUGCUGGACUAUCGAUGGGAAAUUCCCCGCG